rnacentral:misc_RNA from 1 species
UCCGGUUUGUCACCGGCAGUCUCCUAUGAGUCCCCGACAUUACUCGCUGGCAACAUAGGACAGGGGUUGCGCUCGUUGCGGGACUUAACCCAACAUCUCACGACACGAGCUGACGACGGCCAUGCAGCACCUGUCACCGCGUUCCAAAGGCACAGACACCUUUCAGUGUCCUUCGCGGGAUGUCAAACCUGGGUAAGGUUCUAGGCUUAUCAUCCAAUUAAACAACACGCUCCACCGCUUGUGCGGGUCCCCGUCAAUUCCUUUGAGUUUUAGUCUUGCGACCGUACUCCCCAGGCGGGAUGCUUAACGCGUUAGCUUCGCUUCUGAACGGGUCGAUACGUCCAAAUAGCUAGCAUCCAUCGUUUACAGCGUGGACUAC